rnacentral:pre_miRNA from 1 species
UAUUGUUGAACUCUUGUCUUAAUUCCUUGAUAGCUUUAUAGCUCGUAGCAUUUUCUUCGUCAUUUGUUUAUUGGAUAUUCCUAAAGAUGAAUUAUCAAGAAAAUGUUACGAACUAUAAAUCUAUCAAAGAAGUAAGAUAAGAGUUCAACAAUC